rnacentral:rRNA from 1 species
GACGAACGCUGGCGGCGUGCUUAACACAUGCAAGUCGAACGAAGUGGCGAACGGGUGAGUAACGCGUAAUCAACCUGCCCUUCAGAGGGGGAAAACAGUUGGAAACGACUGCUAAUACCGCAUACUGAAGGAGGGGAUUGCGUCUGGUUGGCUAGUUGGAGGGGUAACGGCCCACCAAGGCGAUGAUCAGCAGCCUGUCCGGGUGGAUGAACCGCCACAUGGGUACUGAGAAAAGGACCAACAUGCUACGGAAGGCAGUAGUAGGGAAUCAUCCGAAAUGGACGGAAGUCCGGCGGAGCAACGCCGCCUGAGUGAUGACAGCCUUCGGGUUGUAAAGCUCUGUUAAUCGGGAAGCGGUACCGGAAUAGAAAGCCACGGCUAACUACGUGCCAGCAGCCGCGGUAAUAC